rnacentral:rRNA from 1 species
AUUGAACGCUGGCGGCAUGCCUUACACAUGCAAGUCGAACGGUAACAGGUUAAGCUGACGAGUGGCGAACGGGUGAGUAAUACAUCGGAACGUGCCCAGACGUGGGAGAUAACGUAGCGAAAGCUACGCUAAUACCGCAUACGAACUGAGGUUGAAAGCGGGGGACCGUAAGGCCUCGCGCGUUUGGAGCGGCCGAUGGCAGAGUAGGUAGUUGGUGGGGUAAAGGCUUACCAAGCCUGCGAUCUGUAGCUGGUCUGAGAGGACGACCAGCCACACUGGGACUGAGACACGGCCCAGACUCCUACGGGAGGCAGCAGUGGGGAAUUUUGGACAAUGGGCGCAAGCCUGAUCCAGCAAUGCCGCGUGCAGGAUGAAGGCCUUCGGGUUGUAAACUGCUUUUGUACGGAGCGAAACGGCUCUCUCUAAUACAGGGGGCUAAUGACGGUACCGUAAGAAUAAGCACCGGCUAACUACGUGCCAGCCGCCGCCGUAAGAC